UACAGAGGGGGCAAGCGUUGUCCGGACUUACUGGGCGUACAGCGCGCGCAGGCGGCUUUGUAUGUGCUGGGUGACAUCCUCCCGCUCAACGGGAGGCGGCCCCGGUAGACAGCGAGGCUGGAGGCAGGGAGAGGGAUGUGGAAUGCCCGGUGGAGCGGUGAAAUGCGUAGAGAUCGGGCGGAACACCAGCGGCGAAGGCGGCAUCCUGGCCCUGACCUGACGCUGAGGCGCGAUAGCGUGGGGAGCAAACAGG
rnacentral:rRNA from 1 species